UGCCACAGCCAUGUCACCCUGCAGCCCAAGACCGGUUACUCACUGAAGCUAAGCAGGGCUGAGCCUGGUCAGUGCCUGUAUGGGAGACCACUAGGGAACACUAGGUUGCUGUUGGAA
rnacentral:rRNA from 1 species